UCGGCGCCUCCGUGUGCUGCGGGCCGCCGUGCUUGUGCUCGUGGCGGAGCGGCGGCUUGGGCUGGGCUCGGCCGUCGGGCGGCGGCAGUACAAUGCAGUCGUGAUUUACCAGUGAGUAUUCAAGUGUUGGAAAUCUCAGAUCUCAGCAGCAGUUUAGUCAAGAUGGAUGACGGGGUGGGAGUGCUCCUUGCAGCCUCCUGCCUGACCACAGCCAUCCUCACGGAGCUGUCGCAACCACGGUCAGGGAGUGCAGUCGGAAAGGAAGAGACGGAACUGCAGCGCACAUGCCAGCUGGGAAUCGGUGACUCAGGAUAUUCAGUCAUAAAUGGUGUCCGUCGGUUUCCAGCUGAACGCAGGGAGCAGCAAUGAGGCUUGAGCUUGACGUAAGAGCAGGAUUCUACUCGAACCCGAGGAUUCCCACACUGGAUUUUACAACCUGCCUUCACAUAUGAGAUGUUGAAGCUUUCAAUGAGGUCACACCAGACACUGACAAGCACUGAUGGGUGAGUCAUGCUGCAGUAGCCAGAGAUACUAGCAACAGAUUUGUUAAUCUGUAUGCAGUCUAACCCUUUUUCUGGUCUAGGAUCUUAUUCAAGGGUGAAAUGCAAUGUCUCGGAGAUAGGUGACUGCAGAAUUGCUGAAGAGCAAGGCCACAUUUUCACAACUAUUUUACAGAUUAUAAUAAGAAUCAGUUCCUGGGAGCAUGUUUACAAUAAUGUAAAAUGUUGGUUUAGCUAUAAAAUCUAUAAAACAGGAGAUCAAGAUCCAGAUGGGGUCAACAAUGUUCAUUGCAGAUCACUGGAAAAGCCACCAUGCUAAUAUGGAAUCUAAGUUCCACCUGCUCUUGCUCCAGCAGUUCCAAUCAUCAUCUCCAGCAAACUGCUCUUCCAGAAGCUACAUCCCUGUACCAGGGAGAGCAGGUGUAAAUACACAUCCAUACACCAGCCAGUCUAGGACAAAGGCCAGUGCAGUCACAGCACUGUUAGGGUUGGGUCUGAGCUAAGACAUCCAGCCCUAACCCAGCAGGGUCAGGCAGAGAGCAAAUUCUCUUCUGCUGGCUCUGCUGUGGGGGGAAACCUGUGGAGAAGGAUUAGACCAGACCAUUUCCUGAUCUGCCACAAGAAAAUUCUCCAUGGAAGCUUUGGAAGUGUGGCAAGGACAGAGAAAACCAUGGAACAAGUGAGAUAUGGGGACUGAGUGCAUGACAGCAGAAAAAAGUUUCAUAAUCUUGGCUGAACUACUGAACAGUCAGAGAAAGAACCAACAAUAAAGGGAAGAGGCAAAGUAAAUCUAAAAGAAAUUCUGCAGACAGACAACAAAGAAACGAGAUGCUGUUGUAUUUUCAUUGCUGCAAAGCUAAAUUAAGUUUCCUAAGUCAAGCAGAGAAAUAAGUGUUUUAGACUUCUAUUCAGAAAACAGCAUGAGCAGCAAUUGCCAGUGGACAACUAACAAAAGGUGUCUUCUCUCAGAGAAAGAAAGCCACCAGGAGAUUGCAUAAUUGUAAUGAGUUUCCUCCCAGUUUCAGAUUAUUAGUCACCUUUCACCCUUCUCUGCCAAAGGCCUCUUCUUACCCAUCCAUCCAAGGACCAGAGCCAAGGCACAAGCCUUUCCUGUGCUACUUCUUUCCAUCAGCCAUUCUUCAAGGUCAAGGCCUCCACAAUACUGAUCACUGUGCCCAUUCCAGGCAUUCUGAACCAAUGCCAGAGUAAAACCCCCUUCAGCCCUGCUGUUGGGAAAAGAUUCGAGACACCUGAGUAGACCUUCCUUAUACUCAUUUGUCAUGGCCUGGAAAAGCAGUUAGUCCUGAAAUUGUGCAAAUAUUUAAAAGCAAAACCAUUGCAAAGAUUCAUCGAAGAGCCUUCACCAGCAGAAGACAUCCUACCUAGAGUCCCUUGGAAACCUGUUUGACUCAAGUGGAAAUGACCUACUGGCAUUUAUUUGUAAUUGCCCAGCAUGGCAGUGGCUGAGGAAGGAAAAGCUAUUAAGUCACACUGCAAGCCACUUUUCCACUUCUGUCUGGUUGCCCAGAGGGUAGAGUGGGACAGUCAGAAGGCUGAGAUUUUGUUUAUGUCUCUGAAACUGAUUAUCCAUAUGACCUUGCAUGUACUUCUUGUGCCACCGUUUUCCCACUUCUUAAUACCUAAAACCACUCGACUCACGGGUCAGUCAGAAGUGCCCAGCAAGGAGCAUGUUUGUUCCUCUAAUAAAAGGUAAGAGAAGAGCGAAGUGUUAUUAUUGUUGUCAUACAACACAAAAGCAGUUACGUAAUAACAUCAGCAUUGCUUCAUUUUUGUCAUUACAACACAAACUGUCAGAGGGACACUGCCUGACAUGGUAUCUUCAUCCCAGUGGAUGUACCCAAGUGUUUACUUCAUUGAUACAAAACCAGAUUACAACAAUCUGGAAGACUCUACCUCGUUUAUUUUGACCAUCUAGAACAUGUUUUUCCUGUAUAACCUCAUAACCCAUAAUAAUGGCCCAAACUGCACUACAGGAAUGAUGGCAGGUUUCAUGAGCUAGUAAAAGGAGAACAAUUCCUCACUUGUGCAUUGCACAACUGCUCACACACUAAAGCACACAAGUGCUUCUCUUCUUUGUAAGCAGACAACAACCUGAAAGUUAGUUUCUAAACCUGCAAAUCAUACACACACAGAAUACUUUUUAAAAAAUCUCAGUACCAAGAAAGAAUUAAAGAACUUCCUAAUUUGGCUAAAUUACAUUCUGCUUGUCUGAUGACAAAUUUCCUAAAAAAAAGCAUUGACAAAUGCUGUGUUCAUAACUGCUCUAUAAUUAAUAAACAAAUUUCUUUGCUUGAAGUUCUGUGACUUAUUCUAAAAUUUAAAAUCCUUUGCUUAAAAAUGGUCAGAUUCAAGCAGCAUGUGGACUGAAGGCUGAGGAAGGCAUGGCUGUGAUUACCACAGCUGAAACCGUGCCCUAAUCACACUCUUAUCUUUCUUAUCUACUGCAAGUAUUUAUAAAGCAAUGAUUACUGUACUAGGCCACAUCACUGCUCUGAGUUUGUUCUGAACCAGCACCUUCGUGUUGCUGUAAGAAGUUUACACUGCUAGAGCUGGUGUCAUUUUGCUGAGACAGAAAGCCAAGCUUCUCAUCACUUAAAGUCAUUAAAAAAAAAUAAACUAUGACACCUCUAAAGGAGUAGGGGUGUUAACCCCAAUGUCCUGGCCGAACUCCCAGCUCGAGUAAUUACAACGUGCCUUGAAUAAAUUCUUGCCACAGUUUCCUUUGGACACAGUAUUGUUCUCUACUUCCUCUCCUACAAUAUUAUGGAGUGCUGAUGCAUGCUCUUAAAGGUCCUGUCCGUGCUGGAAUGUCCUACAGGUCUACCCCAGGACCAGCUCUGCAGCAGCACACUGGGAACAAUGUGUUGAAACCAGUUCUGCCUGUCAGCUGAACCGCUAGGCAAUUUGUAAUAUUUAUUUAUUGAUGUUCUGGCACGUCCUCCAGAUGGAAUUAACUUUGAGUAUGGCUAACUGAUAGAUAGACUGGUGCAAAUCCCAGAUACAGACAUACUCUUUUAUGUAAUAAAGUUCUUUAAAUGGACUAAAUUUGCAUCAGGAAAUCAGCAAAUGAAGCUAAACUAACUUUCUAGGUGCCUGCUAUGGUCAUCUGAGAAGGCAGCAAGAACAUGCCUCAUGCACAAGACUAGGAAAGCUAAAUGUGCUGUUUAGUUUAGCUGACAACAAUCAAGGUAGUUUUCACACUGGCUGUUCCUUCAGAAUUUCAGUGGACUUUUUCUAAACCGUCUGUUACAGACAAUGCUGUAUGUUUCUGAAGCAGUCACUGAAUUCGUACCAAAUACAGAUCUAGUAUUUUAAGUAAAAUACUUGACUGUUAAUGCAAAAGCAUUAUUCACAUUUUUCUGCAGCCACUGUUAGACUCUAAGGAUUUUUACCUAGUGCUCUCAUUAUCUUUUUAUGUGUGUAGCACAAAGAGCUGAGGCCCAGACUCUCUGCUGGCAUUUGCCGGGUUAGCUCCACAGACCUUGCUAACUCUCAUAAUUCAUGAGCUUUAAAGGCAAUUUGUCUGCAGGAAGAAGUACAAGAUCAAGAUUCAGAAGAAUCCAAUUUUCAAUUCUACCUUAUGACCCCGUGGGCGGAUCACUCCCUCAGUGCUCCAUUUUGUUCUCCCAUCUCCAAAAGCAAAUGAUACCCACUAAUUUGACAAAACAAGUACAAAAUCAAAUUUAUACUGACAGGCCAUGCUGAGCGGUUUUGCCUUAAACACCAUUGUUCUAACAUUUGAAAAUACAAAUAUUUACCUUCCAAACAUGUCCCUAAUUUCCCCAGAAGCAUGUCUCCAAACCCAUUUUAUUUUAGAAGACAGAAACCGUAUUUUCAGAAAGUGAAUGGUUUUAUUUUUCUGUCAUUACAAAAAUGCCUUUUAACUUGUCAAAUGAUACACUGCAAAUAUCUUUGGCAGAUGAAUGAAUCCAAGUUUCCUGUCAUAGCUGCCAACUUCGAGGUUGAGAUAAUCAGAUAAACCUUUAGUUUGCUUCUCCCCAUACCUAAACUACAUGUGUUUGAAGUGAUCCACAUCUGUCUUACUUUUCCUAUUGGGAUUUGAAAAGGCAAAGUGUCAGACCACUAUGUGCCAAGUUCACAAAACUCUAGGUGUGGUCCACAGUUGUUUCAGCCAAUCUCUGGUCUCAACUUUCCCCCAUCCCAGGUUGAAUAGUCCCCAGUAGCUCUGCUUGUCUAAAGGUAAAUGCCAAGUUUACAUACAUAGUAUCCAGCAUCACCCUCAAACGCCUGCUGGAUACAAAGCCUUAUGAUACAAAAUACCUAUUAGAUUAUGGGAAAAUAGGAAGGAAGUUUGUUUCGCUUGUUUUAUUUCAGCAGGAGCAGUAAUACUGGAUUUACGGAAUUGGAUUAUUUCAUACUGGGGACACUUCAAACCUGAAUAUUUGCAGGGUACUUUAUAACCGAGUGCACUGUCCCUUCAGUUUAAGUCUGAAUUCAAAAGUGGAAGCCAUCCCUACAAACACACCUUUGACAAAGUUUGUGUCUUAUGUAACUAUAUCUAUUCAUUUAUUAUCAGGAUGUCAGUACGAAUUGUUAUUUUGAUGAUUCCUUGCCCCCAUACUUCUGAAAGGGAAAGCAACUGUAAACACAAGGGAGACUGACCUCAGUGAUUUCCUCUGUUCAGACAGGAGCACAAUGCGCUCAAACACCAAGACAAGGAGAAGUGGACUGUUUAGAAUUCCUCCAGCUGUAAUCUAUAGUAAAAACAAAUAAACAAAUACGUGACUACAA